GGAUAAAUCGUUGGUUAAUUGUUGGUUUUGAUUGAGUGAUGGUGAUGUUGAUUGUUGUGUGGGUUGUAAGGGUGUUUUUUUUAACUGAAUUGUUCAGUUUCGUCCAAAUAGGAAUUCAUCGGGAUCGGUGGUGAUUCUGGAAUCGGUUAAUGGAUUAAUAGAGCUUGGGGUUAAUUGUGAUGAUAAUUGACUAUUGCUGGCACCAGGCAAUGAUGUUGAUUGAUGUUGAUUGAAAUGAUGAGCUGGUUUUUGUCGAUUCUCUUUUCGCAACUGAGUAAACGAUUCACAUUGUGUAUCAUCUUCCUCUUUGAUAAUUGAUUCUUCCCAUAGAGACUUUUCUAGUGACUGUUUCUAAAAUUUAACCCAUAAAUCAGGUGAAUCUUUAAUUGUUGAUGUUAAUCUAAUUUGAUUGGCACUUUUGGAACUAGAUUCAGUCUUUGGCACAUCGAUUGGACUUUAAAUGGAAACCAAGUCCAGCGAUCGAGGAUCUGGACGUUUCUGCGAUCUCACCAACCGAAAAACCAACACCCACAUUGUUUUUAGUUUUCAAGAAAUUACCCAAAGAGUGAAUGGAAGCUAAAAACGACAUUACUUAUGUGGAUACCUAAUAGUUCAGCCUCCAGUGAAUCUCAUAAGAAUGGCGGAAACAUAAUUUGGCCCUGGUUGUCGUUUUUCGUUGGAAAGUUUUACCUUUGGGAAUUAAACUCAUUUGUUUCCUCGAAAUUUUUAUCAACCUUGAAUCAAAUUUUGACGAAUCAUCAGUUUUAAGGUCACUAAAUGGGUCAAUCUAAUGUAAGAUCAUUUCGUCUUGGAAACAAAUUUGCAGAGUUUCAAACUUUGUCAAAUUUUUUCAUUAAUAUUUAAGAUUUUCGAAUUUAUUUUUAUUCUGGUUUUUUUUCUUAUUCUAGUUGAAUGGAAGGCAGACCGC